UGCAAAGAUCUUUGACAAAAAAAAGAUAAAGCAAGUGGCAAAGAAAAAGUUAAGAAAUGUCUUUCAUAUUAAUAUUUACACAGUGACAACUGCAUGCUUAGUAUGCCUGCAACGGAUCAAAAAUGUAUAUUAGAUUUAACAAAUAGAGGCAACAGGUCGGCCUUGGCAAAUGUGGCACAGAGUCAGCUGCCCCACAGCAGAAAAGAGUUGAUCUAUUUGCCAACUACUGUUGUCAUCAUUUGCUCAUAAUUGGCAGAAGUUAGUAUUUCUUUUAAAGAGGAGAGCAACUGCAGUCACAAUGAACAAUCCUCAACAGCACAAAGUUCGCCUUUCAAAGAAAAACUGGAGAAUGUCCUUGUUGUUUGCAAAAAAAGAUGUCUAUAUUAAAGCGAUUAGCACCAAUAUAUCAGAACUUGCUAAGAACAGAAAAGGACACUAUUUACUGCCUAAUGUCCACCUUAUUACUAAAACACCAGAUAUGAGGACUAUCAGGUUUGCAGUGAGCUGUAAGUUCUGCUGUCAGACCACCAACUACGCAUCUCCAAAAAUACCAUCUUAUAAGCCCCUGAGUUUGAGGACUUAUCUUUAUCCAAAGUGGAGCAUGUAAUCAUUAAGAUUUUUCACAGGGGUGCAGAGAGCUCCACUCAGCAGCUUGUGAGUUGGCCAGUACGGCAGGAGAGACCAGUUCAAGUUGAAGUGCAGAGUUUCAGCCUUAAAACUGAAAGCUGAAACUGCAGAACAGUCACCUUAUCAGAAACCUACAGCGUCCCAGGAGGCAUUGGUAGCAGAACUUACAAAGUCUUCAGAUGACUACAGCUCAAAUGCUUAAGAUACAUC